UUUUUUUUUGAUAAAGCUAGAAAAUUACAAUAAAAAAAUAGAGGGAAAAGUAUAAAAUUGGGGGGACUAAGCCAAUACCCAAUUAGACAACAAAGACAGAAAAGCAAAGUCACUUCCUAAGUAGCCUUAGACCACUUCUAAGGAAGGAUAAAAUGGAAAACAAAGUCUGCUACUAAGGAUAGUAACAGGUGACAAUAAGAAGACACAAGCACAAAGAAUUAAAGCAACAGAGAAUCAAUCUAAAGCCUAAACCAAGGCAUACACAUCAUGAUUUAUAAGCUUUAGAUAUGCCACUCUUAGCGCGAGUUUGAAUGCACUCAUUUUUCGAUUCUCUAGGACUCUGCAAUUUGUUUUUUUUCUUCUGUCUAUUUGAAACAUAUGGAGUAAAGGACUUAUUGUUCUCAUCAUCAUCA
rnacentral:lncRNA from 1 species